AUGCUGCUCAAGGACGAGAACGUCAACGUGGUCAAGAAAGCCAUCCUGACCAUGACCCAGCUCUACAAGGUGGCCCUGCAGGUGAGGACACACCUGGGACACCUGGGGACACCUGGGGGAACAUGGGGACACCUGGAACACACCUGGGACACACCUGGGACACACCUGGAACACCUGGGGACACCUGGGGACACACCUGGGAACAUACCUGGGGGAACAUGGGACACACCUGGAACACCUGGGGACACACCUGGGACAGCUGGGGACACACCUGGGGGAACAUGGGACACACCUGGGGACACCUGGGGACACCUGGGACACCUGGGGACACCUGGGGACACCUGGGACACCUGGGGCACACCUGGGGACACCUGGGACACCUGGGGGAACAUGGGACACACCUGGAGUACCUGGGGAUACACCUGGGACAGCUGGAACACAGCUGGGACAGCUGGGACACACCUGGGGGAACAUGGGACACACCUGGAACACCUCGGGACACACCUGGGGACACCUGGGGGGGACAUGGGGACACAUCUGGGGACACCUGGGGACACACCUGGGACACCUGGGGGGACAUGGGACACACCUGGAACACCUGGGGACACACCUGGGACACCUGGGAGAACAUGGGACACACCUGGGACAGCUGGGGACACACCUGGGAACAUACCUGGGGGAACAUGGGACACACCUGGGGACACCUGGGACACCUGGGGGGACAUGGGACACACCUGGAGCACCUGGGGACACACCUGGGGACACCUGGGGACACACCUGGAAUACCUGGGGACACACCUGGGACAGCUGGGGACACACCUGGGACAGCUGGGAGAACAUGGGGACACACCUGGAACACCUGGGGGAACGUGGGGACACCUGGAACACACCUGGGGGGACAUUGGACACACCUGGAACACCUGGGGACACACCUGGGGACACCUGGGGGGACAUGGGACACACCUGGAACACCUGGGGACACCUAAAACACACCUGGGGACGCAUCUGGAACACCUGGGGGGACAUGGGAAACACCUGGAACACCUGGGGACACCUAAAACACACCUGGGGACACAUGGAACACCUGGGGACACACCUGGGGACACACCUGGAACACCUGGGGGGACAUGGGAAACACCUGGAACACCUGGGGACACACCUGGAACACACCUGGGGGGACAUGGGAAACACCUGGAACACCUGGGGACACACCUGGAACAC
rnacentral:lncRNA from 1 species